rnacentral:misc_RNA from 1 species
CCGAGCUCCUGCCCUUCGGGGUAGAGACGCCACCCUUGUGUAUUAGACCGAUGUUGCUUUGGCGGGCCCGCCCGCCAGAGACCCCAAACCCUAAGUGUUAGUGUCGUCAGAGUACUAUUCAAUAGUUA